ACGCUCGACACCUACGGGAGGCAGCAGUGGGGAAUAUUGCACAAUGGGGGAAACCCUGAUGCAGCGACGCCGCGUGAGCGAAGAAGUAUUUCGGUAUGUAAAGCUCUAUCAGCAGGGAAGAAACUGACGGUACCUGACUAAGAAGCACCGGCUAAAUACGUGCCAGUAGCCGGGUAAUCUGAGCGGGCUGGCAAGGC
rnacentral:rRNA from 1 species